AGUAACGGCGAGUGAAGCGGCAACAGCUCAAAUUUGAAAUCUGGCUCUUUCGGGGCCCGAGUUGUAAUUUGCAGAGGGUGCUUUGGCGUCGUCCGCGGCCUAAGUUCCUUGGAACAGGACGUCUCAGAGGGUGAGAACCCCGUACGUGGCCGCUGGCCUUCGCCAUGUAAAGCCCCUUCGACGAGUCGAGUUGUUUGGGAAUGCAGCUCUAAAUGGGAGGUAGAUUUCUUCUAAAGCUAAAUACCGGCCAGAGACCGAUAGCGCACAAGUAGAGUGAUCGAAAGAUGAAAAGCACUUUGGAAAGAGAGUCAAAAAGCACGUGAAAUUGUUGAAAGGGAAGCGCUUGCAGCCAGACUUGCCCGCCGCGGCUCCGCCAGGCUUCUGCCUGGUGCACUCCUCGGCGGGCAGGCCAGCAUCAGUUCGGGCGGCUGGACAAAGGCCCCAGGAAUGUAGCACCCUUCGGGGUGUGUUAUAGCCUGGGGUGCCAUGCAGCCAGCCCGGACUGAGGCCCGCGCAUCUGCUAGGAUGCUGGCGUAAUGGCUGUAAGCGGCCCGUCUUGAAACACGGACCAAGGAGUCUAACAUCUGUGCGAGUGUUUGGGUGUCAAGCCCGGGCGCGUAAUGAAAGUGAACGGAGGUGGGAACCCUCGGGUGCACCAUCGACCGAUCCUGAUGUCUUCGGAUGGAUUUGAGUAAGAGCAUAGCUGUUGGGACCCGAAAGAUGGUGAACUAUGCCUGAAUAGGGUGAAGCCAGAGGAAACUCUGGUGGAGGCUCGCAGCGGUUCUGACGUGCAAAUCGAUCGUCAAAUUUGGGCAUAGGGGCGAAAGACUAAUCGAACUAUCUAGUAGCUGGUUCCUGCCGA
rnacentral:rRNA from 1 species